UCCAAGGUAGCUCAACGGUGGAGCAACCGGCUGUUAACCGGUAGGCUGUGGGGGUUCGAUUCCGGUCUUCGGCAC
rnacentral:tRNA from 1 species